rnacentral:rRNA from 1 species
UACGAAGGGGGCUAGCGUUGUUCGGAAUUACUGGGCGUAAAGGGCGCGUAGGCGGCUGAGUUAGUUAGACGUGAAAGCCCAGGGCUCAACUCUGGAAUUGCGUUUAAUACUGCUCGGCUUGAGUAUGGGAGAGGAUAGUGGAAUUCCCAGUGUAGAGGUGAAAUUCGUAGAUAUUGGGAAGAACACCGGUGGCGAAGGCGGCUAUCUGGACCAUUACUGACGCUGAGGCGCGAAAGCGUGGGGAGCAAACAGG